rnacentral:rRNA from 1 species
GACGAACGCUGGCGGCGUGCCUAAUACAUGCAAGUAGAACGCUGAAGAGAGGAGCUUGCUCUUCUUGGAUGAGUUGCGAACGGGUGAGUAACGCGUAGGUAACCUGCCUUGUAGCGGGGGAUAACUAUUGGAAACGAUAGCUAAUACCGCAUAACAAUGGAUGACACAUGUCAUUUAUUCGAAAGGGGCAAUUGCUCCACUACAAGAUGGACCUGCGUUGUAUUAGCUAGUAGGUGAGGUAAUGGCUCACCUAGGCGACGAUACAUAGCCGACCUGAGAGGGUGAUCGGCCACACUGGGACUGAGACACGGCCCAGACUCCUACGGGAGGCAGCAGUAGGGAAUCUUCGGCAAUGGGGGCAACCCUGACCGAGCAACGCCGCGUGAGUGAAGAAGGUUUUCGGAUCGUAAAGCUCUGUUGUAAGUCAAGAACGGGUGUGAGAGUGGAAAGUUCACACUGUGACGGUAGCUUACCAGAAAGGGACGGCUAACUACGUGCCAGCAGCCGCGGUAAUACGUAGGUCCCGAGCGUUGUCCGGAUUUAUUGGGCGUAAAGCGAGCGCAGGCGGUUUGAUAAGUCUGAAGUUAAAGGCUGUGGCUCAACCAUAGUUCGCUUUGGAAACUGUCAAACUUGAGUGCAGAAGGGGAGAGUGGAAUUCCAUGUGUAGCGGUGAAGUGCGUAGAUAUAUGGAGGAACACCGGUGGCGAAAGCGGCUCUCUGGUCUGUAACUGACGCUGAGGCUCGAAAGCGUGGGGAGCGAACAGGAUUAGAUACCCUGGUAGUCCACGCCGUAAACGAUGAGUGCUAGGUGUUGGAUCCUUUCCGGGAUUCAGUGCCGCAGCUAACGCAUUAAGCACUCCGCCUGGGGAGUACGACCGCAAGGUUGAAACUCAAAGGAAUUGACGGGGGCCCGCACAAGCGGUGGAGCAUGUGGUUUAAUUCGAAGCAACGCGAAGAACCUUACCAGGUCUUGACAUCCCGAUGCUAUUUCUAGAGAUAGAAAGUUACUUCGGUACAUCGGUGACAGGUGGUGCAUGGUUGUCGUCAGCUCGUGUCGUGAGAUGUUGGGUUAAGUCCCGCAACGAGCGCAACCCCUAUUGUUAGUUGCCAUCAUUCAGUUGGGCACUCUAGCGAGACUGCCGGUAAUAAACCGGAGGAAGGUGGGGAUGACGUCAAAUCAUCAUGCCCCUUAUGACCUGGGCUACACACGUGCUACAAUGGUUGGUACAACGAGUUGCGAGUCGGUGGCGGCGAGCUAAUCUCUUAAAGCCAAUCUCAGUUCGGAUUGUAGGCUGCAACUCGCCUACAUGAAGUCGGAAUCGCUAGUAAUCGCGGAUCAGCACGCCGCGGUGAAUACGUUCCCGGGCCUUGUACACACCGCCCGUCACACCACGAGAGUUUGUAACACCCGAAGUCGGUGAGGUAACCUUUUGGAGCCAGUCGCCUAAGGUGGGACAGAUGAUUGGGGUGAAGUCGUAACAAGGUAGCCAUAUCGGAAGG